rnacentral:rRNA from 1 species
CGGCAGGCUUACACAUGCAAGUCGAGGGGUAUAGAGAGCUUGCUCUCUAGAGACCGGCGCACGGGUGCGUAACGCGUAUGCAAUCUACCUUUUACAAAGGGAUAGCCCAGAGAAAUUUGGAUUAAUACCUUAUAGUAUUAAGUUUUGGCAUCAAGAUUUAAUUAAAGAUUUAUCGGUAAAAGAUGAGCAUGCGUCCCAUUAGCUAGUUGGUAAGGUAACGGCUUACCAAGGCAACGAUGGGUAGGGGUCCUGAGAGGGAGAUCCCCCACACUGGUACUGAGACACGGACCAGACUCCUACGGGAGGCAGCAGUGAGGAAUAUUGGUCAAUGGACGCAAGUCUGAACCAGCCAUGCCGCGUGCAGGAUGACGGUCCUAUGGAUUGUAAACUGCUUUUGUACAGGAAGAAACCCUACUUCGUGAAGUAGAUUGACGGUACUGUAAGAAUAAGGAUCGGCUAACUCCGUGCCAGCAGCCGCGGUAAUACGGAGGAUCCAAGCGUUAUCCGGAAUCAUUGGGUUUAAAGGGUCCGUAGGCGGCUUAGCAAGUCAGUGGUGAAAUCUCCCCGCUCAACGGGGAAACGGCCAUUGAUACUACUAGGCUUGAAUUAUUAGGAAGUAACUAGAAUAUGUAGUGUAGCGGUGAAAUGCUUAGAUAUUACAUGGAAUACCAAUUGCGAAGGGCAGGUUACUACUAAUAUAUUUGACGCUGAUGGACGAAAGCGUGGGGAGCGAACAGGAUUAGAUACCCUGGUAGUCCACGCCGUAA